CAGUGUAACCUAUCACUAUUUUACUGUGGUAAUGGAGAUGAUGUAUAAACUCCUACUAAUGAUUAUUUCAUCUGUUAGUGGUCAGUCUUUGACCUCCUCAGACUCUGUGGUGAAAAAGCCUGGAGAAUCAGUGACUCUGUCCUGCACUGUGUCUGGAUUCUCAUUCUCCAUCACCAAAGACACCAGCAAAAACAUGCUGUAUUUACAGGUGAAAAGCCUGAAGCCUGAAGACACAGCUGUUUAUUACUGUGCACGACAGUCACAGUUACACAAAAGACUGCAGGACUGA